rnacentral:rRNA from 1 species
GAUGAACGCUGGCGGCGUGCCUAAUACAUGCAAGUCGAGCGAACAGAUGAGGAGCUUGCUCCUCUGACGUUAGCGGCGGACGGGUGAGUAACACGUGGAUAACCUACCUAUAAGACUGGGAUAACUUCGGGAAACCGGCGCUAAUACCGGAUAAUAUAUUGAACCGCAUGGUUCAAUAGUGAAAGACGGUUUUGCUGUCUCUUAUAGAUGGAUCCGCGCCGCAUUAGCUAGUUGGUAAGGUAACGGCUUACCAAGGCAACGAUGCGUAGCCGACCUGAGAGGGUGAUCGGCCACACUGGAACUGAGACACGGUCCAGACUCCUACGGGAGGCAGCAGUAGGGAAUCUUCCGCAAUGGGCGAGAGCCUGACGGAGCAACGCCGCGUGAGUGAUGAAGGUCUUCGGAUCGUAAAACUCUGUUAUUAGGGAAGAACAAAUGUGUAAGUAACUAUGCACGUCUUGACGGUACCUAAUCAGAAAGCCACGGCUAACUACGUG